CCCCCCCGCAGGGCGCGGACUACCUCAACGGCCUCGCCGCCACCGCCACCGCCGCCACACCCCCCACCGACGUCAAGCUGGUGCCCCUGCCCUUCUACAAGACUGUGGACGUGCUGCUGCACCCCACCGAGCUCGUGCCCCAGAACAGCGAGAAACUCCAGGACAGCCCGUGCACCUUUGAGCUGUCCCAGAGCCAGGUGGAGCAGAUCAGGAAUUCUCGGGAGCUGCGCCUUGGGGUGAAGUCUGUCCAGGUGGUGCUCAGGUGAGUGUGCUCUCUCUGGGGAAUCUCGCCUGUCUCCCUCUCUGUCGCAGGAAGAUGAGGCUCAAUACGGGAUCACUGUUCCUGGGAAACACUUGAGUGCAAUGCUCAAGGCUCACACCGCUGCUGUGCUUUGAGAUAUUGAAUGUUCCCAGAGGUUAAAUAUCUGUACUGGUUGUACGUUGGUAGCUUUUUGGAAGUGCAGGUCGUGUAUCUCUGAUGUGGGGGGAAAACUGGAGCCUGACCCCAGCGUGGUGCCACAGCAGAAAAGCUAGACUGCAGUCUUCAAAGGGGGCACCCAGCCGGAUCUUCACAUUAUCGACCGGGCUCUGAUAGAAUUCCUCGGGCUGGGCAGCCCCAGUCUCUCCCUCAUCCCAUCCCUUGCUCCCGUAGCAGAGCGGUCGGCUCAGGGGUUGCUGGAGGGAGGCCGCUGUCCAGUGUUUAAUCGCCCCUGGAGCUGCAGGAUGUAGCAGUGACCGGUUACGGAGCAGG